GAUGAACGCUGGCGGCGUGCCUAAUACAUGCAAGUCGAGCGAAUGGAUUAUGAGCUUGCUCUUAUGAAGUUAGCGGCGGACGGGUGAGUAACACGUGGGUAACCUGCCCAUAAGACUGGGGUAACUCCGGGAAACCGGGGCUAAUACCGGAUAACAUUUUGAACCGCAUGGUUCGAAAUUGAAAGGCGGCUUCGGCUGUCACUUAUGGAUGGACCCGCGUCGCAUUAGCUAGUUGGUGAGGUAACGGCUCACCAAGGCAACGAUGCGUAGCCGACCUGGGAGGGUGAUCGGCCACACUGGGACUGAGACACGGCCCAGACUCCUACGGGAGGCAGCAGUAGGGAAUCUUCCGCAAUGGACGAAAGUCUGACGGAGCAACGCCGCGUGAGUGAUGAAGGCUUUCGGGUCGUAAAACUCUGUUGUUAGGGAAGAACAAGUGCUAGUUGAAUAAGCUGGCACCUUGACGGUACCUAACCAGAAAGCCACGGCUAACUACGUGCCAGCCGCCGCGGUAA
rnacentral:rRNA from 1 species